GCUGGGCGAGAUUGAGAGGAGACUACGGGCUGGAGAGAAGCUCCGCCUGGGGAGAGAUCGCGGCGGUAAUCAGUGCCUGGCCUAUUGUUGUUCAAGCCAGAAAUGUUCAAUAAAGUGAGUGUUAUGAACAUCCAACGUCAAGGCUGUGUCCUUGAUUAUUGUUCAUCGCUGGAGACAGAACGAGCCAAGAACCCACGGAAAUAGCGUCGGGUUCCCGAAAGCAGAUGAUUGAUGAGGCACUGGUGAAUAUGAUUAUCAAAGACUCUCAGCCAUUUUCAGUGGUGGAGGAUGAAGGCUUCAGGGGUCUCAUCCAUACUCGGGAUCGUACCUAUGUACUGCCAAGCAGGCAGGCCUUAAAGAAAAUGGUGGACACAAAAUAUGAGGAAGCCAAGUUCAAGGCAAAGGCUGAAAUGGAAAAAGUCAAGGCUGUGUCUUUAACUUCAGAUAUGUGGACAUCACUUAACAUGGACGCUUACUUGGCCAUAACCUGCCACUACAUUGAUGAGAAUGAUAAGCUCAACACUGUCUUGGUGGGGGUAGAGAAGUUUCCAGAUAAUCACACAGCUGAAAAUAUAGACCUCAUAAAAAAAGGUAUAUGGAGGAGUGGGAAAUCAAGGCAAAGGUCAAAUGCCUUGUCACAGAUGCUGCAGCAAAUAUGAUUUCUUGUGCAAAGAUUCUAUAAGUGAGGCACACAAUCUGCAUUGCGCAUGCACUUAAUUUAAUGGUUAAAAAAAUCGUUCGACCAAGUUUCUGCCCUCUAUGACAUCCGCACCAAGACAAAGAAAAUUGUCACCUAUUUCAGAUCCAGCACCAUUGCCAAAGAGAAGCUGAACCAGAUGCAGCAAGACAUGUGCAGACCUGCCCUUAAACUUAUCAAUGAAGUGGAAACACAUUGGAACAGCACUUUGAGAUGCUUCAACGCCUAUAUGGAAAAAGGCAAACUGUGGGUGCAUCCUUAGCCUCUCUCAGGACAGACAUCAGUCUACUUCAUCCACAGGAGUAUGAAGCAAUAAAGGAAGUCCUCCGUGUGCUCUCACCGUUCCAGCAGGCUACGGUAGAACUGCCUGAGGAGAAACGUGUCUCAGGUUCAAAAGUCAUUCCACUGAUGAAAAUGAAACACCAUUCUUUACAGGGAGAACAAAUUAGGUAUUUAUUUGUAUUUUUUCAGCAGUUAAAACAUUCGUAUUGAUGUUCAUAUUGUAAAUGUGACCAAGCCAUUUUAAAUUGAUUAGGUUGACUAUGACCCAUUCAAAAGAACUGACAGAAAACCUUGUUUUCAAAAAAACAAAUUUUUUAGGUGGAAAUCUGUGGCACCUACUAGAUAGUGCUGUGGACCAAAGUAAAAUAACCUGCAAUGCCACAGCUGAUGCAGUCAUAGAGGUUGAUCGAUACCUUAAGGAAACAAACAUACCCAGAACCCAUGAUCCACUUGAAUACUGGAAAGAACAAAAACAUCUGUUUCCCCAUCUAUAUCUGAUGGCACUGCAGUUUUUGUGUACACCACCCUCCCCUGUACCCUGUGAGAGAGUGUUCUCAAAGGCAGGGGAAGUAUUGUGCAAGAGGAGAAAUGGGCUCAGUCCUAAAAUUGUCAAAAAUUAUUAUUUCUCAAUAAAAACCAGUAAAAUACAGUCCUUUAUUGGGCCCACAUUCUUCUUCACCCAGUUACAAAAGCACAUUUAAUAACCACGUAAUCCAUGAAUUAGGGUAUUUGACGUUACAUUUAUAUAGUCUCCUAUAUCAGAUACAUACAGAUAGUAGUCAAUUACAUGUCAUAUACAAGUCUUUUAGUUAUAAUAAUUCAACAAUUUCUCACUUACUCUGGGCACCCACAACACGCUUAAACAGUAUUUUAUUGUAAUACAUUGAGUAAUAUUGACUUUUAUAUUAGCAUGAAUUACCACAUUAUGGUACAUAAUAAAUAUUAUCAGCAUAUGAUUUUUAUUUGUGUACUACAGAGUACAAUUAAAUUAAUGAGGUGGGUGUUUGGUCCAGUGAAGCUUCAUCCCAGAUACAGCUGUUGUACAUUUUAUGAUCCACUAGAUGGCACUGCAAUCUAUACUCCGACAUUUCGAAUCUUUUCUCGGUCCAGUUAGAGGAAAGCCUCAUAGCUUCACAAGACUUCAUUUAGCCAUCCCUACUGGAUUCAUCACAGUCUCAAUGAACAAAAUUUUAAUCACUUUUCAGCUAGAGUUCCUACCAGAUUCAAUUUUCUCAUCACUACCAAUGCCACAUGUACAUUCCGUUCUGUUUUGGUUUGGCCUUAUGUUCCCUUUGCCUGAGUUCCUUAUUAGUUAAUUAGUUCCACACCUGUUUCUGUUUCCCUUAAUUACGUUUCCACUGUUAUUUUGUCUGGUAUUGUUUAUGUUGCUGUUGGUUCCUGUAUUCUCCAGUGCUUUUUCUUAUUGGGCACUGGAGAGUACAGUAAUUGUAACUUGUAAAUUGUAACUACACGUUACAACCUGUUUCAUAGCAAUUACAAUUCACUGCUACUUAAAGAUCUACAUGUUCUAACAUCUCUUUUUUUAUAUAAUGCACAUAUAUAAUGCAUAAAUUAUUUUUUACAUUUAAAGCUUGGAAAGAGAACCAUGGGUAACGCUUUAGAUUACAGCCCGCAAAGUAGUACAGAAUUUGAAGCACAACUAAUUGUAACAAUAAUGUAGCUCUAUAUAGUACAUAUCUAUAGGUAAAGGGGAACAACAUGCAGAUUUUGGGGAAUAAGAGAGUCAGGACAAUUAAAACAAUAUAUACAGUGCAUCCGGAAAGUAUUCACAGCGCUUUAAUUUUUUUAACAUGUUGUUAUGGUGCAGCCUUAUUCCAAAAUGGAUUCAAUUAAUUAUUUUCCUCAAAAUUCUACAAACAAUACCCCAUAAUGACAACGUGAAAGAAGUUUGUUUGAAAUCUUUGCAAAUUUAUUAAAAAUAAAAAACGAAAAAAGCACAUGUACAUAAGUAUUCACAGCCUUUGCCAUGACACUCAAAAUUGAGCUCAGGUGCCUCCUGUUUCCACUGAUCUCCCUUGAGAUGUUUCUACAACUUGAUUGGAGUCCACCUGUGGUAAAUUCAGUUGAUUGGACAUGAUUUGGAAAGGCACACACCUGUCUAUAUAAGGUCCCACAGUUAACAGUGCAUGUCAGAGCACAAACCAAGCCAUGAAGUCCAAGGAAUUGUCUGUAGACCUCCGAGACAGGAUUGUAUCGAGGCACAGAUCUGGGGAAGGGUACAGAAAAAUUCUGCCGCAUUGAAGGUCCCAAUGAGCACAGUGGCCUCCAUCAUGGAAAUGGAAGAAGUUUGGAACCACCAGGACUCUUCAUAGAGCUGGCCGCCUGGCCAAACUGAGCGAUCGGGGGAGAAGGGCCUUAGUCAGGGAGGUGACCAAGAACCCGAUGGUCACUCUGACAGAGCUCCAGCAUGUCUCUGUGGAGAGAGGAAAACCUUCCAGAAGAACAACCAUCUCUGCAGCACUCCACCAAUCAGGCCUAUAUGGCAGAGUGGCCAGACGGAAGCCACUCCUCAGUAAAACAGCCCGCCUGGAGCACAUGACAGCCCGCCUGGAGUUUGCCAAAAGGCACUUGAAGGACUCUGAGAGUCUGAUGAAACAAAGAUUGAACUAUUUGGCCUGAAUGGCAAGCGUCAUGUCUGGAGGAAACCAGGCACCGCUCAUCACCUGGCCAAUGCCAUCCCUACAGUGAAGCAUGGUGGUGGCAGCAUCAUGCUGUGGGCAUGGUUUUCAGCGGCAGGAACUGGGAGACUAGUCAGGAUCGAGGGAAAGAUGAAUGCAGCAAUGUACAGAGACAUCCUCGCUGAAAACCUGCUACAGAGCGCUCUGGACCUCAGACUGGGGCGAAGGUUCAUCUUCCAACAGGACAAUGACCCUAAGCACACAGCCAAGAUGACAAAGGAGUGGCUACAGGACAACUCUGUGAAUGUCCUUGAGUGACCCAGCCAGAGCCCAGACUUGAACCCGAUUGAACAUCUCUGGAGAGAUCUGAAAAUGGCUGUGCACCGAUGCACCCCAUCCAACCUAAUGGAGCUUAAGAGGUCCUGCAAAGAGGAAUGGGAGAAACUGCACAAAAUAGGUGUGACAAGCUUGUAGCAUCAUACUCAAAAAAGACUUGAGGCUGUAAUUGGUGCCAAAGGUGCUUCAACAAUGUAUUGAGCAAAGGCUGUGAAUGC